AGAGUUUGAUCAUGGCUCAGAACGAACGCUGGCGGCAGGCCUAAUACAUGCAAGUCGAGCGCCCAGCAAUGGGAGCGGCGGACGGGUGAGUAACACGUGGGAAUAUGCCCCGAGGUACGGAACAACUCAGGGAAACUUGAGCUAAUACCGUAUGAUCCGGCAACGGCAAAGAUUUAUCGCCUUGGGAUUAGCCCGCGUCCGAUUAGCUAGUUGGUGAGGUAAUGGCCCACCAAGGCACCGAUCGGUAGCUGGUUUGAGAGAACGACCAGCCACACUGGGACUGAGACACGGCCCAGACUCCUACGGGAGGCAGCAGUAGGGAAUCUUGGACAAUGGGGGAAACCCUGAUCCAGCCAUGCCGCGUGAGUGAUGAAGGCCUUCGGGUUGUAAAACUCUUUCGGCGGGGACGAUAAUGACGGUACCCGCAGAAGAAGCUCCGGCUAACUUCGUGCCAGCAGCCGCGGUAAUACGAAGGGGGCUAGCGUUGUUCGGAAUUACUGGGCGUAAAGCGCGCGCAGGCGGCCUUUCAAGUCAGGGGUGAAAGCCCAGAGCUCAACUCUGGAAUUGCCUUUGAAACUGUCAGGCUUGAGUACGGGAGAGGUGAGUGGAAUUCCCAGUGUAGAGGUGAAAUUCGUAGAUAUUGGGAAGAACACCGGUGGCGAAGGCGGCUCACUGGCCCGUUUCUGACGCUCAGGCGCGACAGCGUGGGGAUCAAACAGGAUUAGAUACCCCCGUAGUCC
rnacentral:rRNA from 1 species